rnacentral:rRNA from 1 species
UACGUAGGGUGCAAGCGUUGUCCGGAAUUAUUGGGCGUAAAGAGCUCGUAGGCGGUCUGUCGCGUCGGGUGUGAAAAUCCAGGGCUUAACCCUGGACCUGCAUUCGAUACGGGCAGACUAGAGUUCGGUAGGGGAGACUGGAAUUCCUGGUGUAGCGGUGAAAUGCGCAGAUAUCAGGAGGAACACCGGUGGCGAAGGCGGAUCUCUGGGCCUUACCUGACGCUCAGGUGCGAAAGCUAGGGGAGCGAACAGG